rnacentral:rRNA from 1 species
UCGAGCGAAUGGAUUAAGAGCUUGCUCUUAUGAAGUUAGCGGCGGACGGGUGAGUAACACGUGGGUAACCUGCCCAUAAGACUGGGAUAACUCCGGGAAACCGGGGCUAAUACCGGAUAACAUUUUGAACCGCAUGGUUCGAAAUUGAAAGGCGGCUUCGGCUGUCACUUAUGGAUGGACCCGCGUCGCAUUAGCUAGUUGGUGAGGUAACGGCUCACCAAGGCAACGAUGCGUAGCCGACCUGAGAGGGUGAUCGGCCACACUGGGACUGAGACACGGCCCAGACUCCUACGGGAGGCAGCAGUAGGGAAUCUUCCGCAAUGGACGAAAGUCUGACGGAGCAACGCCGCGUGAGUGAUGAAGGCUUUCGGGUCGUAAAACUCUGUUGUUAGGGAAGAACAAGUGCUAGUUGAAUAAGCUGGCACCUUGACGGUACCUAACCAGAAAGCCACGGCUAACUACGUGCCAGCAGCCGCGGUAAUACGUAGGUGGCAAGCGUUAUCCGGAAUUAUUGGGCGUAAAGCGCGCGCAGGUGGUUUCUUAAGUCUGAUGUGAAAGCCCACGGCUCAACCGUGGAGGGUCAUUGGAAACUGGGAGACUUGAGUGCAGAAGAGGAAAGUGGAAUUCCAUGUGUAGCGGUGAAAUGCGUAGAGAUAUGGAGGAACACCAGUGGCGAAGGCGACUUUCUGGUCUGUAACUGACACUGAGGCGCGAAAGCGUGGGGAGCAAACAGGAUUAGA